rnacentral:lncRNA from 1 species
ACCCCCCUCACCGGCUUUUAGCUAUGGGGUGGGGGGGGGAGGGAGGAUGCUCCCGGCUCCCUCCCGCCCCGCCUGCCCCCGGCCCAGCCCUACGAACACCAUUUUGCGCAGGGAGGGGGGGAUCCGGGGGUCGGUCCCGCCCGGCUCCGCAGUGGCAGCGCUGCCCCGUCACCUGACCGCCGUGCGCGCGCACCGCACCGCACCGCGCCGCCCCCCCCCGCAUCCCCUCCCCUCCCGCGGGGGCGGGGGUGCCCGGUAUAUACGGCCCCGCCGCCCCCGCCCCUGCCUGCCUCCUGCAGCAGGGGAGGCCGCCGCUCGCCGCCGCACCGCGCCCGGCCCCGCAGGUGGGCGAGCCGCAGCGGGGUCCUCCGGGUCCCAAGAUGGCCGCCGCUGCCUGGCCCCCUCCUGCGGUUUGCUGCGCCGCGUGAGUACCUGGCAAGCUCCUACUGUGGUGCCUUGGAGUCGGGGAGGGGAUCUCAGCAAGAGGAUUUCUGCCCAUCUUGAACUGGGGCUCGCAGCACCAGCCAGCAUGGGGGAGUGCAGUGCUUGCUCUGCCACUUACUCGGCUGCUGAGGAAAUUGGACACUAGUGGAAAUGUACCAUUGUCAGACUUCAGUGUUCCCACGGAACAGGGAAUGUGCAGAACGCAUUUGGCAUUACUCUCGGUGUGACACAGUGUGCUCCUGCCAGCAUGCGCAGUGCCGCGGCACGCAGGGAGGGACCUCUCAGCAUCUGGUCACCUUCAGCCAGCAUUGCCGAGUCACUGCUGCUCAGGAGCAGCCAGAGCACAGCUUCCACUUUCAGGCUCUUCUUUUCCCAUCUUGAAGCUGAAUAAUAGAUUUGCAUAAAAUAUGAAUACGCUGUUUUGUUUCUUGUAGCACUGUGUAUUAAAAUUUCAGAAACUGCUCUUUAAAUAAAAGCUCUGUCAGCGUGACA